UGUCCUAUCAGACUGUAAUCUGAAGAUUCAAUAUUCAUCACUUGAGCUCCAGUGUUUCUUUGGGCUGGGUAUCGUACCUUAACUAUUUUCUUUGGUGCAGAUUUGAGGAAGCACACACAUCCACACCGACGCGACACUGUAACUGGCGAACAGCCGAGCGGCCGCGUUGGAAACUAAGUAAAGGGUUGCUCCUGGCGUGAGUGAGGGC